AUCUUGCACAAUGCGCGAAAGCGUGAUGCAGCAACGCCGCGUGCGGGAAGAAGGCCUUAGGGUUGUAAACCGCUCUCAGUGGGGACGACGCUCUACGAGUUAAUAGCUCUGUGAAUCGCCGGUACCUUCUGAAGAAGCGCCGGCUAACUACGUGCCAGCAGCCGCGGUAAUACGUAGGGCGCAAGCGUUGUCCGGAAUCAUUGGGCGUAAAGCGCGUGUAGGCGGCUGGGUAAGUCUGCUGUGAAAGUCCAGGGCUCAACCCUGGGAUGGCGCAGAUACUGCUUGGCUAGAGUACGGGAGGGGCGAGUGGAAUUCCUGGUGUAGCGGUGGAAUGCGCAGAUAUCAGGAAGAACACCUAUGGCGAAGGCAGCUCGCUGGAACGUUACUGACGCUGAGACGCGAAAGCGUGGGGAGCAAAC
rnacentral:rRNA from 1 species